rnacentral:rRNA from 1 species
AGACCCGAAACCCGGUGAUCUAGCCAUGGGCAGGUUGAAGGUUGGGUAACACUAACUGGAGGACCGAACCGACUAAUGUUGAAAAAUUAGCGGAUGACCUGUGGCUGGGGGUGAAAGGCCAAUCAAACCGGGAGAUAGCUGGUUCUCCCCGAAAGCUAUUUAGGUAGCGCCUCGUGAAUUCAUCUCCGGGGGUAGAGCACUGUUUCGGCUAGGGGGCCAUCCCGGCUUACCAACCCGAUGCAAACUGCGAAUACCGGAGAAUGUUAUCACGGGAGACACACGGCGGGUGCUAACGUCCGUCGUGAAGAGGGAAACAACCCAGACCGCCAGCUAAGGUCCCAAAGUCAUGGUUAAGUGGGAAACGAUGUGGGAAGGCCCAGACAGCCAGGAUGUUGGCUUAGAAGCAGCCAUCAUUUAAAGAAAGCGUAAUAGCUCACUGGUCGAGUCGGCCUGCGCGGAAGAUGUAACGGGGCUAAACCAUGCACCGAAGCUGCGGCAGCGAACGUAUCACUUAAAGCGAUUCAGCGGAUGACGAUUGACGGAGCGAAGCGACGUCAAAGCGUAUACAAAGUCGAGUC